rnacentral:lncRNA from 13 species
AAGGAGAAGAGGGAUUCUAUCAUAUUUUAACUUCUGUGCUUAUUCUCUUCUCUCUCUCUCUUACCAGAUUCUUUUGUGUUUUCACUGGUGUGACAAUGACAGGGGAGAUUUUUCUCUGUGCCGGGAUUUAAACAUGGGUUCUCAGGUCUUCUGAGAAGCAGACACCAGUACAGAACCUGAUUCUGCAAAAGAUCAAUGUGCAAAAGAUAUAUCGGGGAAAUGUCAAUGGAGGACAAAGGGAAGAAGAACCAUGAGUAGGAGCAGUUCAGCACUUGGCAGGAAGACAAGAGGUCAACACCCCAGGACAGAGAGAAUACCUAAGGUUUGUAUUUUUGAUACACAAAAUGGUCCUAGCUAGAAGCUGUUGCCCAGGAAGU